rnacentral:rRNA from 1 species
AUUGAACGCUGGCGGCAGGCCUAACACAUGCAAGUCGAGCGGAUGAAGGGAGCUUGCUCCUGGAUUCAGCGGCGGGCGGGUGAGUAAUGCCUAGGAAUCUGCCUGGUAGUGGGGGAUAACGUCCGGAAACGGGCGCUAAUACCGCAUACGUCCUGAGGGAGAAAGUGGGGGAUCUUCGGACCUCACGCUAUCAGAUGAGCCUAGGUCGGAUUAGCUAGUUGGUGGGGUAAGGGCCUACCAAGGCGACGAUCCGUAACUGGUCUGAGAGGAUGAUCAGUCACACUGGAACUGAGACACGGUCCAGACUCCUACGGGAGGCAGCAGUGGGGAAUAUUGGACAAUGGGCGAAAGCCUGAUCCAGCCAUGCCGCGUGUGUGAAGAAGGUCUUCGGAUUGUAAAGCACUUUAAGUUGGGAGGAAGGGCAGUAAGUUAAUACCUUGCUGUUUUGACGUUACCAACAGAAUAAGCACCGGCUAACUUCGUG